GCUUUAAUUUGCAUAAACACAGGCAUCAUAUGAAUAUUCAGUGAGUGGCUUUGCAUUAAGUAAGUGCCCUUAAUCAGCUUUUCAGUUCAGUUUUAUUGGUUACACGCACAGUCAGUUAUUUCAUCCAGAAUAUCUGAAGGCCCUACAAACUAACCAGGCACUACUUAAAUACCAACAGGAGCAGCUCACUGAGUUCACAAGGCCUUCCGGAGACUUCUCACAAAGCCGCUAGAUGGCAUGAGAGCACUGCACUGGACCCGCUCAGCCACACGGCCGCGUGUAACACUGAGGCAUUUAUUCUCUUCAUGCUGAGAGCUCAGUGUUUAGUCAAAUCACCUAAAUUCUUCUAUUUCAUGGCUCCUGUAUCUCCAGGAGAAGUCUUCUCAAAGAAAUAUCCAUGAAAUCCAUGGGCAUUGUGAAGCCAUCUUUCUCCAUUACCCAAACAUUCAGCAUCUACUGUUCCUUGGCAGAUUUCACAAAGGGCUGCACACCAGGAGACGAAAAGGGAAGAGAAAUACUCAAGUUCUUUCUCUACAGGAGAAACCUAAAUGGUAAAUGUGAUACUGAACUGAUAAACUGAAGUUUUGCCAAAGCAGUUAGCAAAUGAAAGGAAGAAGAACAAAGGAAUGUCUUAGCCUCCAACUCUGUUCCAUGCUACACUCUCAUACUCAGCUCGCAGCACACCAGAUAUAAGCCAAACAUUUGAGAUGAGAUAUAAUUCCCUUCAUGAUCACAGAUGAGGAAGUUGAGAUUCAAAAAGGUCAAAAUCUGUCCAAAGACAUGGCUAAAAGGAGGAUUCAAACAUUCAAAUACUGGAUAAACCUUGGCUAGAAUCCAUCAAGCCACAGUCUGAAGGAAAGUGAUUCUGAAUCAGAAAGUCUGGAAAUUAAGAUAUUAAUAACCAUUGUAAGGAGAUGCAAUUUUGGUUUGAAUAAUGACAUUUGGCUGAAGAUAGCAAACAAGCAAGAGGCUGCUCAAGAAUCUUUGCAGUUCA
rnacentral:lncRNA from 1 species